rnacentral:rRNA from 1 species
GUCGAGCGAAGCACUUUGUUUUGAAUCUUCGGAGGAAGAACGAAGUGCCUUAGCGGCGGACGGGUGAGUAACGCGUGGGCAACCUGCCUCAUACAGGGGGAUAACAGUUAGAAAUGACUGCUAAUACCGCAUAAGACCACGGUGCUGCAUGGUACAGUGGUAAAAACUCCGGUGGUAUGAGAUGGGCCCGCGUCUGAUUAGCUAGUUGGUGAGGUAACGGCUCACCAAGGCAACGAUCAGUAGCCGACCUGAGAGGGUGACCGGCCACAUUGGGACUGAGACACGGCCCAAACUCCUACGGGAGGCAGCAGUGGGGAAUAUUGCACAAUGGGGGAAACCCUGAUGCAGCGACGCCGCGUGAGCGAUGAAGUAUUUCGGUAUGUAAAGCUCUAUCAGCAGGGAAGAAAAUGACGGUACCUGACUAAGAAGCCCCGGCUAACUACGUGCCAGCAGCCGCGGUAAUACGUAGGGGGCAAGCGUUAUCCGGAUUUACUGGGUGUAAAGGGAGCGUAGACGGCGAUGCAAGCCAGAUGUGAAAGCCCGGGGCUCAACCCCGGGACUGCAUUUGGAACUGUAUAGCUAGAGUGUCGGAGAGGCAGGCGGAAUUCCUAGUGUAGCGGUGAAAUGCGUAGAUAUUAGGAGGAACACCAGUGGCGAAGGCGGCCUGCUGGACGAUGACUGACGUUGAGGCUCGAAAGCGUGGGGAGCAAACAGGAUUAGAUACCCUGGUAGUCCACGCCGUAAACGAUGACUACUAGGUGUCGGGCAGCAAAGCUGUUCGGUGCCGCAGCCAACGCAAUAAGUAGUCCACCUGGGGAGUACGUUCGCAAGAAUGAAA